CGCGGCCUAUCAGCUUGUUGGUGGGGUAAUGGCCUACCAAGGCGACGACGGGUAGCCGGCCUGAGAGGGUGACCGGCCACACUGGGACUGAGACACGGCCCAGACUCCUACGGGAGGCAGCAGUGGGGAAUAUUGCACAAUGGGCGCAAGCCUGAUGCAGCGACGCCGCGUGAGGGAUGACGGCCUUCGGGUUGUAAACCUCUUUCAGUAGGGAAGAAGCCUUUCGGGGUGACGGUACUUGCAGAAGAAGCGCCGGCUAACUACGUGCCAGCAGCCGCGGUAAUACGUAGGGCGCAAGCGUUAUCCGGAAUUAUUGGGCGUAAAGAGCUCGUAGGCGGUUUGUCGCGUCUGCUGUGAAAGACCGGGGCUCAACUCCGGUUCUGCAGUGGGUACGGGCAGACUAGAGUGCAGUAGGGGAGACUGGAAUUCCUGGUGUAGCGGUGAAAUGCGCAGAUAUCAGGAGGAACACCGAUGGCGAAGGCAGAUCUCUGGGCCGUAACUGACGCUGAGGAGCGAAAGGGUGGGGAGCAAACAGGCUUAGAUACCCUGGUAGUCCACCCCGUAAACGUUGGGAACUAGUUGUGGGGUCCUUUCCACGGAUUCCGUGACGCAGCUAACGCAUUAAGUUCCCCGCCUGGGGAGUACGG
rnacentral:rRNA from 1 species